GUGGAAUAGUAAUUGUUUGUGUUCAUUCCAAUUCACAGUUGAAUGGUUAUUCAGAAUUCAGCGCUACCCUCCUCUUGGAGUUAACAUCCGAUAUCAACACAGAGAUAUUUUUAUUGGCUUGGUGAUAAAAAGGGUAACAGUUUAAACUCUAAUUGCAGUUAUAAGUUGAGUUAUCACCAUUGCUGGAUAAAUCUGAUCGGUCAGAGUCCGAUCAGAUCAUUUGUUCCAGCACAACUGGGUUCAUAACAGCUAAUUAAUAAAUGCAUUAGUCAUAUAUCAUUAUCAUAUAUCAUUACAAGCUUAUGGCUCUAGCAUCACCACCGUUUUGAAUCAUAUUUGUUAUAGCUAAUAUUUGAGUUGAAUGACUUAUUAUUAAAAUUAAAAUACCAAAUUAUAAUUGUCAGGACUCAGCCAGCCGGGCUGUGCAGCUCACUGCCAGUCCUGCCAUCUCUGCUUCCUCCACAGGUGUUCGUGGUUGACUGGUGGGCGGAGUACGCACACCUGCAACUCAUUCAGCAGCACUGGAGCUGCCUACAAGAACAGCGCUCGAACAGCGAGAGGACGCCAGAGUGUUUUCAUUGCGGUACCUUCUUGUGCUCCGACGUUCCCUUCGUGACCUUCCAGUUCCUCGGUUCCCUCCCGAGUCGAUAACCCCACCCCUGGACCCAAGGCUCCCUCCAACGUUCUCUGUUUCCUCUCGCUGCUCUGGAUCCCUGGAAUCCACGGUGCUGCUCGGACCCCCUCGCUCCACUCUCCAGCUGCCCGGACACCUGCUGUCAACAACUAGGCUGAGUCCACACACCCAUCCUCCCCGGUCGGGCUCUCUCACACCUCGUGAUUGAUCCGGUUCCCUGGUCCUGGGCCCCGUUCGAGCCGUCUCCUUCCCCGCAGAUUAGUUCUGCCGUCUUGUGUACCCUCUGAAUCAACUCGACUGGCCAGUUCCCGAGACCGGAAAACAGCUCCAACGCUUAUUUACACGUCUUUAUUGUGUGUGGGGGGGGGGAAAACACGAUCAGUCGCCAUUGCAGUUUUCGCCUCGCGCACCCCCAGGGGUGCACCACACUUUGGGAAUCACUGGUCUACAGUAACAAGUCUACAAAAAGAAAUUUCAACGCCCAAAGAUAAAUGUGCAGACCUGGAGGGGAGCAAGAGAAGGCCCAAUAUUGGUAUCACAGGCAUUGAGAAAUGCUUGGGCUCCAGUUCACCACAAGUUGUUACUUAUAAAAGGGCUCCAUAUUCCGGCCGAAAAGAAGAAAAUAUUGAAUCAAUAAAGACAAAUUACCUGCCACAAAGCAUUUUUGCAAGAAACCCAUCUAUCGGAUACAGAACAUAAAAAGUUUAAAAAAAUCAUGGGCACAUAAGGUGUUUUAUUCAUCCCACCAUUGAGGGAACAAUAAGGCUCUCACCAAACUCAUAUAUAGAUAGAUAAAGUUCACACAAACAUUGCUACACAGAGACAUAGAAGGGAGAUAUGUAUUAGUUAACAGAACAAUUGAUGGUGUAGAAGAGUCAUUUGUAAAUGUGUAUGCUCCUAAUACAGACUCACUUGAAUUCAUUAAAUAAUUUUUUAAGGUAAUACUAAAGCACAGUACCGGGCUACUGUCGUAGACCACUAACCCAACAAUGGAGGCUUAAUACAUCCUUGCUUAAUGACAAUGCAUGCAUUGCAUUUUUUUAACAGAAGAGUUAAAGACAUACUUAGAAACUAAUGUAUCUACAGAAACAACACCUCUGAUUAUAUGGGAUUGUGCCAAAGCAUUUCUUCGUGGCCGCAUCAUUUAUUUUACAUCAGCGAGGAAAAAAACAAAGGAAUGCUAAACAACAAGACUUAGAGGACAAAAUAAAAGAACUAGAGUUUAAAAAUAAACAAUGUGCUAUUGCAAUUAUCUUAAAAGAUUCAAACACAACCAAAUAGCCUGCUGUCAGAUAAAGUGUAAGGUAACUUGAGGUCCAUCCAUCCAUCCAU